CAGCAGUGGGGAAUUUUGGACAAUGGGCGAAAGCCUGAUCCAGCCAUGCCGCGUGCAGGAUGAAGGCCUUCGGGUUGUAAACUGCUUUUGUACGGAACGAAAAGACUCUGGUUAAUACCUGGGGUCCAUGACGGUACCGUAAGAAUAAGCACCGGCUAACUACGUGCCAGCAGCCGCGGUAAUACGUAGGGUGCAAGCGUUAAUCGGAAUUACUGGGCGUAAAGCGUGCGCAGGCGGUUAUAUAAGACAGAUGUGAAAUCCCCGGGCUCAACCUGGGAACUGCAUUUGUGACUGUAUAGCUAGAGUACGGCAGAGGGGGAUGGAAUUCCGCGUGUAGCAGUGAAAUGCGUAGAUAUGCGGAGGANACANCCGNANUGGCGAAGGCAAUCCCCUGGGCCUGUACUGACGCUCAUGCACGAAAGCGUGGGGAGCAAACAGGACUAGAUACCCUGGUAGUCCACGCCCUAAACGAUGUCAACUGGUUGUUGGGUCUUCACUGACUCAGUAACGAAGCUAACGCGUGAAGUUGACCGCCUGGGGAGUACGNGCCGCAAGGUUGAAACUNCAAAGGAAUUGACGGGGACCCGCACAAGCGGUGGAUGAUGUGGUUUAAUUCGAUGCAACGCGAAAAACCUUACCCACCUUUGACAUGUACGGAAUCCUUUAGAGAUAGAGGAGUGCUCGAAAGAGAGCCGUAACACAGGUGCUGCAUGGCUGUCGUCAGCUCGUGUCGUGAGAUGUUGGGUUAAGUCCCGCAACGAGCGCAACCCUUGCCAUUAGUUGCUACGAAAGGGCACUCUAAUGGGACUGCCGGUGACAAACCGGAGGAAGGUGGGGGAUGAUGUCGGGGCCUAUGGCCCCUUAUAGGUGGGGCUUCACACGUCAUACAAUGUCUGGUAACGUAGUGUUUCUC
rnacentral:rRNA from 1 species